GACGAACCGUGCGAACGUUGUUCGGAAUCACUGGGCUUAAAGGGCGCGUAGGCGGAUUGCCAAGUCCGGGGUGAAAUCUUUCGGCCCAACCGGAAAAUGGCCUUGGAUACUGGCAAUCUUGAGGGAGGUAGGGGCAGCUGGAACUUCCGGUGGAGCGGUGAAAUGCGUUGAUAUCGGAAGGAACGCCGGUGGCGAAAGCGAGCUGCUGGACCUCUUCUGACGCUGAGGCGCGAAAGCCAGGGGAGCAAACGGGAUUAGAUACCCCGGUAGUCCUGGCCCUAAACGAUGGGUACUAGGUAGUGGACUAGACAUGGGUUCCCUGCCGAAGCUAAAGUGUUAAGUACCCCGCCUGGGGAGUAUGGUCGCAAGGCUGAA
rnacentral:rRNA from 1 species